rnacentral:rRNA from 1 species
GUGGGGAAUAUUGGACAAUGGGCGCAAGCCUGAUCCAGCCAUGCCGCGUGAGUGAUGAAGGCCUUAGGGUUGUAAAGCUCUUUUGUCCGGGAAGAUAAUGACUGUACCGGAAGAAUAAGCCCCGGCUAACUUCGUGCCAGCAGCCGCGGUAAUACGAAGGGGGCUAGCGUUGUUCGGAAUCACUGGGCGUAAAGCGCACGUAGGCGGACCAUUAAGUCAGGGGUGAAAGCCUGGAGCUCAACUCCAGAACUGCCUUUGAUACUGAUGGUCUCGAGUUCGGAAGAGGUUGGUGGAACUGCGAGUGUAGAGGUGAAAUUCGUAGAUAUUCGGAGGAACACCAGUGGCGAAGGCGGCUUACUGGUCCAUUACUGACGCUGAGGUGCGAAAGCGUGGGGAGCAAACAGGAUUAGAAACCCUGGUAGUCC